GACGAACGCUGGCGGCGCGCCUAACACAUGCAAGUCGAACGAGCGAGCGAGAGCUUGCUUUCUUGAUCGAGUGGCGAACGGGUGAGUAACGCGUGAGGAACCUGCCUCAAAGAGGGGGACAACAGUUGGAAACGACUGCUAAUACCGCAUAAGCCCACGGUGCCGCAUGGCACCGAGGGAAAAGGAGCAAUCCGCUUUGAGAUGGCCUCGCGUCCGAUUAGCUAGUUGGUGAGGUAACGGCCCACCAAGGCGACGAUCGGUAGCCGGACUGGGAGGUGGAACGGCCACAUUGGGACUGAGACACGGCCCAGACUCGUACGGGAGGGAGGAGUGGGGAAUAUUGCACAAUGGGGGAAGCCCUGAUGAAGCGACGCCGCGUGGAGGAAGAAGGUCUUCGGAUUGUAAACUCCUGUGGUAGGGGAAGAUAAUGACGGUACCGAGUAAGGAAGUGACGGCUAACUACGUG
rnacentral:rRNA from 1 species